AUUGAACGCUGGCGGCAGGCCUAACACAUGCAAGUCGAACGGUAACAGAAAGCAGCUUGCUGCUUUGCUGACGAGUGGCGGACGGGUGAGUAAUGUCUGGGAAACUGCCUGAUGGAGGGGGAUAACUACUGGAAACGGUAGCUAAUACCGCAUAACGUCGCAAGACCAAAGAGGGGGACCUUCGGGCCUCUUGCCAUCGGAUGUGCCCAGAUGGGAUUAGCUAGUAGGUGGGGUAACGGCUCACCUAGGCGACGAUCCCUAGCUGGUCUGAGAGGAUGACCAGCCACACUGGAACUGAGACACGGUCCAGACUCCUACGGGAGGCAGCAGCGGGGAAUAUUGCACAAUGGGCGCAAGCCUGAUGCAGCCGUGCCGCGUGUAUGAAGAAGGCCUUCGGGUUGUAAAGUACUUUCAGCGGGGAGGAAGGGAGUAAAGUUAAUACCUUUGCUCAUUGACGUUACCCGCAGAAGAAGCACCGGCUAACUCCGUG
rnacentral:rRNA from 1 species